GUACCCAUGGUGUCUUGGUUAUCACAUCCGCCUGACACGCGGAAGAGUCCAGGUUCGAAACCUGGUGGGUACA